UUUCAAGGAACAACAGAGAGAUGGUAUUUCCAGACAAGGGAACAAAUUCCCGGAAGCAACUGGUCAAGGAAUGAAAAUCCUGGAGAACAGAGUGGAAGAAACCCGUAUUCCAUGUUUCCUGUUGAUUUUCUUUCCUCCCUAAACACUGACCUCCCGCAGUCUUCACUAGCAGGUGAGAUCACCUGUAGAGGUCAUGCUGCCCAGUCUCAAGUCCCUGAUUAUAUUCAAGACGUGGAGCUCUCUUUUUCCCGUCCUGCUUUCUUUCCAGAAGUGCCUCAGAUGCAUCCUCCCCUUCUCUUUUCUCCACAUGAAGACAUCACUGACCAUCUUCUCUGGUUUGCUUUCCAACACCGAGCGCCAAGUGCUUCAAAGGUCAUGGUGCCCUGGGGCCAACAGCUACUUAUGUGGGCAUUUAUAACCAAAUAAAUAUUGAAAUGGCCCACAAAGCAAAUGUUAGUGGUAACCAACAGCGGUAAAAUUGGGGACAUAGGACCCUGCACCUUCUUGAAUGUUCCCCAUGAGACCCUGGGCCGACCUUCAGGUUUUCCAGUGUGCUCAGAAAAUCCUCCGUGGCUCCCAGCCCCAGUUUAGUCUUUCAACGGUCCUCGGACUGAAGUAAGGGACGGGGAGGGAAUUGUCCAAGGUUUUCCAGCAUGCUGAGAACACUUACCAUGGUGGAGCCUGGCACAUACUGGCUCUUUGAUGCAUGUGUAUUGGUCUCAAGUAGCCAGAAGCAUCUCCUCUGAGAGCCCUUGCUCUCCAGUUUAAAUGACAAAUGGAAGGGAAUCGGUUCUGGAAGGCCCCAGGUGGGCUGGGGUGGGUUCUGGAGACCAUCUUUCAACUCCUCUUCAGGAGGAGGGUUGGUCAAAUCAGCUCUGUGGCCACCUGGGCACUGGAGGGGCCAGAUACAGGCAGAUGCAGCCCACAGGAGGAAGAGCACCACGUGCGGGUGAAGCCCAUAGCUGGAACCAAAAGGCCCCAGGAGGGAUCCUAGCUCUGACAUCUUCCAGCCGUGUGGCCUUGGGCAAGGUCCCUGACUUGGACCUCAGCCUCCUUAUCUGUAAAAUAGGCAGAACAGUAAUAUCGACCUUGUAGGCUGUAUAGAGUUCAUAUACAUCAAGCACUUACCACAGUGCCCGGCGGACCGCAUGCCCUAAACACACAAUCCGUGAAAUGAAUCCAUCAGCAAGCAGCUGCUGGGGGCAGUGUGGGGCAGAGAGGCAGCUGCCUGCUGGAACUGGCUGACAGGAGGAUGAGUGUGUGGCAGGAGGAACGCUCUGCACAGAGGACACUAGGUAGCGUCACCUGUCUCUUACACUGUGUCUCCACUGGAAUGGAAUGUCAGACUCGCACCAUGCAUUCCUUUCCCUGCCAAAACGCCUCCUCUUAGCAGUGAGCAAGAAAGUUGUUCGAGUGGAUGAAGCCAAAAGCCCAUUUGGCAAGAGUGCUGUUUUGGAAAAUGCUUAGCGGUGUGGGUUGGGAUGAGGUUUUCUGUGCCUUUCCAUUAUUUCUUCAGCUUCAUGUAACCCUGACUGAGCAAUGCUCAGCAGAGUGAAGGCUGGGCAGCAGAUGGACAAGAUUUUCUCAAACUCCUUUUUGAGCCAAUUUCAAAAUAGAGAGAGGGAAAAAUCCUUGUUUUCUCUUUUCGGUUUUGAGAGGUUUCAUAUGCAGACACAAUUUUAAAUUUUGUUUUUUUUGCUCCCAAUGAGAUGUUUGGAGAUGGUGGUACUGGAACAGGAAGGAAUUUAUAAGCAUUGGGGAAUUUUUCACCCCAAUGCCCAUAUCCUCCUAUAAUUCAAGAAGUGAAUGGGUAGCGUUUUUGUUUUUGUGAGAGGGGUGGCAGAGGGUAGAGAGAGAAAGAGAGAGAAGCAGAGAGAGAUUACAUAGAGAUGUCCAAAAUGAACACAGUAAAAACCAGUUUUGAUUAAUUCUGCAAUACUAAGUAGGCAGCCAAAGAUUUUGGGCUGCUUAAUUCUUAGCUCAUCUAAGUCUCCUGUUGACUGAUUGAUUGAUUGAAUGACUUAUUCAACAUGCGCUAGCCAGACACUGGUCUAGGGCCCAGGAAUUCAGCAAUAAAUGAAACAAGACAAAAAAAA
rnacentral:antisense_RNA from 1 species